UGCCCCAUAGUGUAAUGGUAGCACAACUGCCUCUGGAGCAGUCGGUUGAGGUUCAAGUCCUUGUGGGGCAG
rnacentral:tRNA from 1 species